rnacentral:rRNA from 1 species
AGCAGCCGCGGUAAUUCCAGCUCCAAUAGCGUAUAUUAAAGUUGUUGCAGUUAAAAAGCUCGUAGUUGAAUUUCGGAGUUUAUCGGUUGGUCGGGCUUCACUGUCCGCACUGACCUGAUGGAUUCCUACCUUCUGAAUAACCAGCAUGCUAUUAAGUUAGUGCGUUGGGGAAGCAGAGCUAUUACCUUGAAAAAUUAGAGUGCUUAAAGCAGGCUUAUGCUUGAAUAGAUUAGCAUGGAAUAAUAAAAUAGGACGGCAUGGUUCUAUUUUGUUGGUUUCUAAGAUCACCGUAAUGAUUAAUAGGGAUAGUUGGGGGCAUUAGUAUUCAAUUGUCAGAGGUGAAAUUCUUGGAUUUAUUGAAGACUAACUUCUGCGAAAGCAUUUGCCAAGGAUGUUUUCAUUAAUCAAGAACGAAAGUUAGGGGAUCGAAGACGAUCAGAUACCGUCGUAGUCUUAACCAUAAACUAUGC